CCAGAGUAUCAAUUGGAGGGCAAGUCUGGUGCCAGCAGCCGCGGUAAUUCCAGCUCCAAUAGCGUAUAUUAAACUCGUCGCAGUUAAAAAGCUCGUAGUCGAAUUUCUGCUGCAUCGUGGUUCUUCGCUAUGUCGAGUGAUCUUCGUCGUGGCUUAGUCGGGGCAUGUUUUCAUGACUCGACGUUUACUUUGAGAAAAUUAGAGUGCU
rnacentral:rRNA from 1 species